rnacentral:rRNA from 1 species
GACGAACGCUGGCGGCGUGCCUAACACAUGCAAGUCGAACGGAAAGGCCCCUUUGGGGGUCCUCGAGUGGCGAACGGGUGAGUAACACGUGCGUAACCUCCCCUUGACUUCGGGAUAACUUCAGGAAACUGGGGCUAAUACCGGAUAGGAAUCCUUGCUGCAUGGUGGGGGUUGGAAAGCUUCGGCGGUUUUGGAUGGACUCGCGGCGUAUCAGCUCGUUGGUGGGGUAGUGGCUUACCAAGGCUUUGACGGGUAGCCGGACAUGGAGGGCGACCGGCCACAUUGAGACUGAGAUGCGGCCCCGGCUCCGACGGGUGGCAGAAGGGGGGAAGAUUGCACAAUGAGCGGGGGGCUGAUGCAGAAAGGCCGCGGGCGGGAUAGCGGUCUUCGGGUUGUAGACCGCAUUCAGCAGGAGCGGGGCUUGUGGUGACGGUACCUGCAGAAGAAGCACCGGCUAACUACGUG